GUGAGGAAUAUUGCGCAAUGGAGGCAACUCUGACGCAGCCAUGCCGCGUGCAGGAAGAAGGCGCUACGCGUUGUAAACUGCUUUUAACCGGGAAGAAACCCCAGGACGUGUCCUGGGUUGACGGUACCGGAGGAAUAAGCACCGGCUAACUUCGUGCCAGCAGCCGCGGUAAUACGAAGGGUGCAAGCGUUAUCCGGAUUCAUUGGGUUUAGAGGGUGCGUAGGCGGAGCGUUAAGUCAGUGGUGAAAUCCUGCAGCUUAACUGUAGACUUGCCAUUGAUACUGGCGCUCUUGAGUGCGCUUGAAGUGGGCGGAAUGUGCCGUGUAGCGGUGAAAUGCUUAGAUAUGGCACAGAACACCAAUUGCGAAGGCAGCUCACUAAGGCGAUACUGACGCUGAGGCACGAAAGCGUGGGGAUCGAACAGGAUUAGAUACCCGUGUAGUCC
rnacentral:rRNA from 1 species